rnacentral:misc_RNA from 1 species
AGCCCGUCAAGCCCUGCUUGGUAUUGGGCGCCGCCCCUCGUGGGCGGGCCCCAAAUGCAUCCGGUAGGCCGCGGCCCCUCUAGUGCACCAGAAGUCAGCUUCACGCGCGAGGAGGAGGGACGGCCGUCCGAGAAAGCCCUACU